rnacentral:rRNA from 1 species
CAUAGCGUAAUGAAGCGAACCGGGGGAACUGAAACAUCUAAGUACCCCGAGGAAAAGAAAUCAACCGAGAUUCCCCCAGUAGCGGCGAGCGAACGGGGAGCAGCCCAGAGUCUGAAUCAGCUUGUGUGUUAGUGGAACGGUCUGGAAAGUCCGACGGUACAGGGUGAUAGUCCCGUACACCAAAAUGCACAGGUUGUGAACUCGAAGAGUAGGGCGGGACACGUGGUAUCCUGUCUGAAUAUGGGGGGACCAUCCUCCAAGGCUAAAUACUCCUGACUGACCGAUAGUGAACCAGUACCGUGAGGGAAAGGCGAAAAGAACCCCGGCGAGGGGAGUGAAAAAGAACCUGAAACCGUGUACGUACAAGCAGUGGGAGCAUCCUUUUGGGUGUGACUGCGUACCUUUUGUAUAAUGGGUCAGCGACUUAUAUUCUGUAGCAAGGUUAACCGUAUAGGGGAGCCGAAGGGAAACCGAGUCUUAACUGGGCGUUAAGUUGCAGGGUAUAGACCCGAAACCCGGUGAUCUAGCCAUGGGCAGGUUGAAGGUUGGGUAACACUAACUGGAGGACCGAACCGACUAAUGUUGAAAAAUUAGCGGAUGACUUGUGGCUGGGGGUGAAAGGCCAAUCAAACCGGGAGAUAGCUGGUUCUCCCCGAAAGCUAUUUAGGUAGCGCCUCGUGAAUUCAUCUUCGGGGGUAGAGCACUGUUUCGGCUAGGGGGUCAUCCCGACUUACCAACCCGAUGCAAACUGCGAAUACCGAAGAAUGUUAUCACGGGAGACACACGGCGGGUGCUAACGUCCGUCGUGAAGAGGGAAACAACCCAGACCGCCAGCUAAGGUCCCAAAGUCAUGGUUAAGUGGGAAACGAUGUGGGAAGGCACAGACAGCCAGGAUGUUGGCUUAGAAGCAGCCAUCAUUUAAAGAAAGCGUAAUAGCUCACUGGUCGAGUCGGCCUGCGCGGAAGAUGUAACGGGGCUAAACCAUGCACCGAAGCUGCGGCAGCGACACUAUGUGUUGUUGGGUAGGGGAGCGU